rnacentral:lncRNA from 1 species
GAAAACGAAGAGUGGUCAGUAUCAGUAUAAUAUAAUAUUUGGAGUAUAUCUAUAUAAUGGACAAAUUGUGAUUUAAUCUAAAGUAAAUAUUGGUAAUAGUGAACGAAUUAAGUCAUAUUUACUUUUCAUAAACUCACUGGAAAUUGUAUAUAAACAUAUUACGUUGAUUUAUUUGAACAGGAGAGAACUCCAUUUACGGCGUUAACUUUGACCAUCGAGGCUAUAUGUGUAAACAGCUUUAGCGUAGAUAAGUGUUCAUGGAUUUAUAAACCAGAAACAUUUUAGAGUAUAUUUGGUAGACCUUUGUCUCGGCGUUUGUCGGAACUUGAAGCGUCCGUUUGAUAUGCAUUUAAGAGUGCAUUCGAUAAUGUUUGUUUAGUAAACCAUUGUCUGUGUUGCUGUUGAAACGACCGUUUGGCAUGUGGCAAAUCGCUGUUUAUUCAAAACUGAACGACUGUUCUAAAAGCUGUAUUUAUCAAUAAUCAUACAUAUUUAAAAGACUUGGAAGCAC